rnacentral:rRNA from 1 species
AACGAACGCUGGCGGCAGGCUUAACACAUGCAAGUCGAGCGGACCCUUCGGGGUCAGCGGCGGACGGGUGAGUAACGCGUGGGAACGUGCCCCUAUCUUCGGAAUAGCCCUGGGAAACCGGGAGUAAUGCCGGAUACGCCGAGCCAUAGCGAUAUGGUUUGGGAAAGAUUUAUCGGAGAGGGAUCGGCCCGCGUUGGAUUAGGUAGUUGGUGGGGUAACGGCCUACCAAGCCGACGAUCCAUAGCUGGUUUGAGAGGAUGAUCAGCCACACUGGGACUGAGACACGGCCCAGACUCCUACGGGAGCAG